rnacentral:lncRNA from 1 species
AUAAUCAAAAAAAUAAUAGGAGGCGGCCCCCAAAAAGGAAGCGGGCGGGGACGCUAAACAUGUAUAUUCUUUUUACAUGGCCUAAACGACAAGGUAUCAGAUAUCCAUUGUUUUGACAUUCCUUUUCCCUUAAACACGCAAAAUCAUGCAUUUCGUGAGAAAUUAUAUGCGCGAGAAAUAUACUGGGCGAAUUGUCUGUAGGGCGAAUUUAAUCUGACCAAGAUUUUGGCCGAUUCGAAUUGCAUGCACAUUCUCAUGAUCAUGGUCAUAUGAGUUCUGAGUACUGCUGUUUUAUAGUUGUGCUGUUGUGCUGAUUGCUAGCUUAGUUUUGGUUACUGAGAGUUGAAGAGAGAGUUGCAGAAAAUUUGAUAGAUCUACUCUUACUGUUGGACAGUUACUGAGAGAGAAGCAAGGAGGCAGAGGUAAAUUCAGCUCUUACUGUUGGACAGUUAGUGAGAGGGAAGCAGGGAGGAAGAGGUGAAUAGAGCUCUUAUUGUUGAACAUUUACUGAGAGAGAAGCAAGGAGGCAGAGGUGAAUAGAGCUCUUACUCUUGGACAGUUAUUUAGAGAGAAGCAAGGAGGCAGAGGUAAAUAGAGUUGUUACUGUUGGACAGUUAUUGAGAGACGAGCAAGGAGGAAGAGGUGAAUAGAGCUCUUACUGUUGGACAGUUACUGACACAGAAGCAAGGAGGCAGAGGUGAAUAGAACUCUUACUGUUGGACAGUUAAUGAGAGAGAAGCAAGGAGGCAGAGGUAAAUAGAACUCUUAUUGUUGGACAGUUACUGACACAGAAGCAAGGAGGCAGAGGUGAAUAGAACUCUUACUGUUGGACAGUUAAUGAGAGAGAAGCAAGGAGGCA